UAAAGGGUGCGUAGGNGGNUUGNUAAGUCUGCUGUGAAAGNCCUGGGCUCAACCUGGGAACUGGAGUGGAUACUGGCGAGCUAGAGUGUGUCAGAGGAUGGUGGAAUUCCCGGUGUAGCGGUGAAAUGCGUAGAGAUCGGGAGGAACACCAGUGGUGAAGGCGGGCAUCUNGGACAACACUGACGCUGAGGNACGAAAGCGUGGGGAGCAAACAGGAUUAGAUACCCUGGUAGUCCACGCCCUAAACGAUGCGAACUGGACGUUGGGCACACUUAGGUGCUCAGUGUCGAGGCUAACGCGUUAAGUUCGCCGCCUGGGGAGUACGGUCGCAAGACUGAAACUCAAAGGAAUUGACGGGGGGCCCCACAAGCGGGGGANUAUGUGGUUUAAUUCG
rnacentral:rRNA from 1 species